UCCUUCCCCACCUAAAUUUAUCAGUCUCGUUCUCCCGGGCCUUUCUAGGCUAGGGUAAUAGGAUAAAUUAAUCCAUGAUAAAAUGCUAAUAAUCUUAUUUGUUUUGUAUUCCAAAUAAAUUGAAAAUCUGUGUUAAUAGGGUCCUUGAAAGCCUGAACUUAAAGGUUUAAGUAAAAUGGGAAUUUCAGGCCCAAAAAGAGGCAUUUGGGAGCAGGGUGUCCUGAGACGGUCUGCAGGUCCCACUCACGCAGUGGAGGUGGCAAGAGGAGGGCCUGUGUCUGAGCCUUGCCCAGUCUGUGCCCCAUAAAAAUUAAUCUACUCAACUUCUAGGGUGGGGAAUGUGUGGAAAUAAAAUGAAGCGGGAAUCUUUUGGGCCUUUACUCCACCCAGGCUGGCACCCCGAGGGAGCGUGCGUGCUCAGCCUCCCAGUAAUCCAGCUUUAGAGGGAAAAAGAAGGCUUUUCUCAGUGGAAAAACCUACCUGUGGCCGUAAUGAUUUAGUAGAUGCCAGUCUAACCUGAAAUAAUAAAUACCAUUAUGAUGUCACUGUCUCACUGCUCAUUUUUAGAGACUCUGGACCUUUCUUCCAAAAACACGAGCUUAUGAAUAGGACUCUGUGGUGCCUGACGUGUCGUUCAUGGGUCAGCACAGGCGUGGUAGCUGGGCUGCAGGACAGGCUUAGGAGACCCUCCCAGCAUGGAUGGCGGUAGCUCGUGGGCAAUCUUGCCCCUGAACUAACCCAGCUCAGACUUCAAGUGCCAGAUUGAUCUGAAACUCAGUCUCGCCUCAGCUAGCUGCAGAACAGCCUCCAGAGCCUGCCUGGACACAGUCUAGAAGGAAAAGUUCCCUCUGUCCCUGACUGCCUGGCACACCUUAAAAUCAUUUCAUUUUGCUUUCACCUCUCUUUUUCUGAAAGUCAAAACGUUACAUUCAUGUGUUUCAUGGAAAACAGCUAAGGAUAAAAUACAAAAGCCACACUUCUGUUACACAAUUUCCACUUUCAAAGAAACAUAUAUUUUGGAUCACAAGAACAGGAGGAGUGAAAAAUGCUGGAGAGAGAGGUGAAGAGAAAACAUCUAAUCGCAAAUAACAUUACCUAAGUGCAUUUAUCACUAUAAACUUCCCUCUUAGAACUGCUUCUGCUGUAUCCCGCGAGUUUUGGUGCGUUGUAUUUCCAUUGUUCAAGUGAAUGUGUCUCCCACCACGUCCCUUGGUAGACAGUGCUGCUCCCAGACCCCAGCUGAGAGGAGAUGGAACUGCGUCACUGGCUGCUUCACCAUCCACAGCCUGGACUGAGCUGGGUGGGCCUGCUACUGGAAGUACAGGUGGGCAUGGCUCUUCCCACAUCCCUGGCUUGGCAGAUGGUGCCAGUUGCAGGAUCAAGCUCUGCCCACCAUUGAGCAGCCCAGGCAUCAUGGAGCCUCAGUACUCUUCCUUCGGGCCACAUGGCGCACUCCUUGGCUAGACCAUUCGUCAACCGCACCCGAGGUUUUCUAAAGUUCCUAGAUUGAGACCAGACCUUCUCAAGGAUCUUCCAAUCUUAUCUGCCCCCAUUUCAGGGGCUCUCUUGCAUAAAUCAAGUAAUAAAUAAUGUGCAACCAGCUGCCCUCCUUCACCAAUUUGCAUGUGCCUCAGAAGUGCCACACCAUACA
rnacentral:lncRNA from 1 species